ensembl:lncRNA LINC01748 long intergenic non-protein coding RNA 1748
GCUGGGAGCUGUAGACCGGAGCUGUUGCUAUUCGGCCAUCUUGGCUCCUCUCCUGAUGGAGAGAGGGGAACCCGAGUCAAGGAAUGCAAAUGGCCUCUGGAAGCUGGAAAAAGCAAGAAAUGGAUUCUCCUUUAGAGCCUGUGGAAUAAAAUGCAGUCAUGCUGACACCUUGAUUUUACCUCAGUGAGACCAAUACUGGAGUAUGACCUUCGGAGCUGAAUAAAAUUAUACGUACACAUCUUAAUUUCUUGGGAUUUGAUUACUUCUUCUGCUUUGAAAUUAGACCAAGUUUAGCCUGCCUUUGCUAUUUUGGCGUAUCUCCAAUUCUUCAUGAUUUUCUCAUAGUGUUGCCUCCAUAUGAUGCAAAAUAUCCAACCUAGCCCUGACAUGAAAACUUAAUUGAAAGUAUCCAACAGUGGAAAAUUGUUGAACAUCUACAUACGAAGAUGAAGGGAAAACUUGAAAGCAGUCAGAGGAAAAAAAAGGACACAUUACCUUCAAAUGGACAAUAAGAUGGAUGGCUAAUUAAAAUAUUAUUGCAGUAUAAUUGAUGUUUGCUACAUUGUACAUAUUUAAAGUGUACAAUGUGAUCAUUUUCCACGUAUGUAUAUACAUGUAAAAGCAUCACCGGAAUAAAGAUUACAAACAUUUCUGUUACUCCUCAGAGUUCCUUAUGCCACUGUGUAAUCCAACCAUCCUCUACCCCAUCCCCAGAAAACUGAUUUGCUUUCUGUUACUGUAAUUAGUUUGGAUAUCCUAUAAUUUUUCAUAUGGAUGGAAAUGCAGUAUGUAUUUUGCCUGGCUUCUUUUACUCAGCAUAGCAAUUUUGAGAUUUAUUCAUUUUGUUGCAUGUAUCAAUAGUUCAUUCCUUUUUAUUAAGUAAUGUUUCCUUGCAUGAUUACACCACAGUUUAUCUAUUCCUCUGUUGAUGGACAUUUGGACUAUUUCAACUUUUGCCUAUGAACAUUUGUGUAAAAUGAACAUUUGUGUGAAAA